rnacentral:rRNA from 1 species
CACGUAGGGCGCAAGCGUUUGUCCGGAAUUAUUGGGCGUAAAGAGCUCGUAGGCGGUCUGUUGCGUCCGCUGUGAAAACUCGGGGCUUAACCCCGAGCCUGCAGUGGAUACGGGCAGACUAGAGGUAGGUAGGGGAGAAUGGAAUUCCCGGUGUAGCGGUGAAAUGCGCAGAUAUCGGGAGGAACACCGGUGGCGAAGGCGGUUCUCUGGGCCUUACCUGACGCUGAGGAGCGAAAGGCGUGGGGAGUCGAACAGG